GCGCCUAUAGCUCAAUGGAUAGAGCGCUUGAUUCCGGUUCAAGAGGUUACAGGUUCGACUCCUGCUAGGCGCUCCA
rnacentral:tRNA from 1 species